rnacentral:rRNA from 1 species
UGACCUCGGACAGGAGGAUCCGCUGCUUAACUAUCAUAG